GACGAACGCUGGCGGCAUGCCUAAUACAUGCAAGUCGAACGAACUCUGGUAUUGAUUGGUGCUUGCAUCAUGAUUUACAUUUGAGUGAGUGGCGAACUGGUGAGUAACACGUGGGAAACCUGCCCAGAAGCGGGGGAUAACACCUGGAAACAGAUGCUAAUACCGCGUAACAGCUUGGACCGCAUGGUCCGAGCUUGAAAGAUGGCUUCGGCUA
rnacentral:rRNA from 1 species